rnacentral:rRNA from 1 species
GUACACGCUGUGACUAGCAUAUCAAUAAGCGGAGGAAAAGAAACUAACAAGGAUUCCCCUAGUAACGGCGAGUGAAGCGGGAAGAGCUCAAAUUUGAAAUCUUAAAGGGUUUCCCUUUACGAAUUGUAGUUUAAAGAAGUGUUUUCUGUUGAGGUUUUGGUAAAAGUUCUUUGGAAUAGGACAUCAUAGAGGGUGAGAAUCCCGUAUUUGACCUUUACUUUCAACUUUGUGAUACACUUUCAAAGAGUCGGACUGUUUGGGAAUGCAGUCCAAAAUGGAUGGUAAAUUUCAUCUAAAGCUAAAUAUUGGCGAGAGACCGAUAGCGAACAAGUACCGUGAGGGAAAGAUGAAAAGAACUUUGAAAAGAGAGUUAAACAGUACGUGAAAUUGUCAAAAGGGAAGCGUUUGACACCAGUGUUGUUUUUCUGAAAAUCAAUUAAAGAACUGUUUAUGCUAAGCUGUUUAGACUUUAUCAGCUAACUGUUUAGUUUUGAGCUUUUCUUUAAUGCACUUUUCAGUUAACAAGUCAACAUCAAUUUCUUUUGCUGUAAAAAAGCUUGAGGAAGGUGGCUUGAGAUUCGUCUUAAGUGUUUAUAGCCUCUUGCCUAUGCAGUCGGAGAGAUUGAGGUCUGCAGCGUAGAUCCUUCGGGGCUGAAUGCAUUUGUGCUAAGUUAUAGCAUUUUAUAGACAACUUGUUGACUAUGAUUUGUCUUGUAGCUUACUCGCUUAUGUUAUUUUACCUACGCUUAGGAUGUUGAAGAUGUAGCACAUCAU